rnacentral:misc_RNA from 1 species
UUAAGUUCAGCGGGUAUCCUUGUCUGAUCUGAGGUCAAAACUUCAAAGUCUCCCACCAAGGGGAGGCGUUAGGGUUUAACGCCGCAAAGCAGUUUACCAGCAGGCUUUUUGGAAGUUUGUAACACCACUCCAUUGACCUGGCUAGAAGGUGCUUGCGGUCGCGCGGCAAGUUUAGGGAGGGCGCAGGUGGAAAGAAGUAA